AGACCGUGCAAGCUGCUCCACAGCUAAGUGUGGAUCAAGCAACUCGAAGUCACCAUCUUCGUCCCCCUUCCGGAAACUUUCAGAAGUUAGGAGCAUACGCCUCAGCC